rnacentral:rRNA from 1 species
AUUGAACGCUGGCGGCAUGCUUUACACAUGCAAGUCGGACGGCAGCACAGAGAAGCUUGCUUCUUGGGUGGCGAGUGGCGAACGGGUGAGUAAUAUAUCGGAACGUACCGAGUAAUGGGGGAUAACUAAUCGAAAGAUUAGCUAAUACCGCAUAUUCUCUGAGGAGGAAAGCAGGGGACCUUCGGGCCUUGCGUUAUUCGAGCGGCCGAUAUCUGAUUAGCUAGUUGGUGGGGUAAAGGCCUACCAAGGCGACGAUCAGUAGCGGGUCUGAGAGGAUGAUCCGCCACACUGGGACUGAGACACGGCCCAGACUCCUACGGGAGGCAGCAGUGGGGAAUUUUGGACAAUGGGCGCAAGCCUGAUCCAGCCAUGCCGCGUGUCUGAAGAAGGCCUUCGGGUUGUAAAGGACUUUUGUCAAGGAAGAAAAGGCUGUUGCUAAUACCGACAGCUGAUGACGGUACCUGAAGAAUAAGCACCGGCUAACUACGUG